UGGUGGAGUGAUUUGUCUGGUUAAUUCCGUUAACGAACGAGACCCCUGCCUGCUAAACAGCCUGCCGAGUGAGUUUUCACUGGGUGAGGCUUCUUAGAGGGACGUGCAUUCUAUUAGAUGCAGGAAGAUAGGGGCAAUAACA
rnacentral:rRNA from 1 species